ACAGCUGUGAUGAGCCUCUAACAUAUAAGAAGAACAGUUGGGUUUCUUUAAUGAAAUAUACAUGUUACGCUUGGCUUCUGAGCUAG